AUAGGCCAGAGUGCUAUUUUUAAAUAACCCUGCAAUAAAUAAACUGUUGAGCAUAGUAACAUUAUUUCGAAGUACAUCUACUACUUGUAUUACUGUGUCACAGCCCUUAAUGCUAGUAGCAUUAAUUAUCUAUCCGAACUUCAAACCAUUUUAGUGACAUUGCUUUCAUACCGGUAUAACGAUAAACGGACGACGCACCCAUGGACCCACCUCAACAACACACACUUACCACAGGAAUACUAUCACUUCGAAAACGAAAAGUCAAUUCGAAUAAUAAUUAUUAUAACAAAAAAAUUAGUUUAA
rnacentral:lncRNA from 1 species